GACGAACGCUGGCGGCGUGCCUAAUACAUGCAAGUCGAACGCAGUGGGGACGGGUGAGUAACACGUGGGUAACCUCCCAUCAGAGGGGAUAACACUUGGAAACAGGUGCUAAACCGAUACUGAUGGAUGGAUCCGCGGUGCAUUAGCUAGUUGGUGAGGUAACGGCUCACCAAGGCCACGAUGCAUAGCGGACCGGAGGGGGGUACCGGCCACACUGGGAUGGUGCACGGGCCCAGACUCCUACGGGUGGCAGCAUUGGGGAAUCUUCGGCAAGGUACGAAAGUCUGACCGAGCAACGCCGCGUGAGUGAAGAAGGUUUUCGGAUCGUAAAACUUUGUUGUUAGAGAAGCGGUAUCUAACCAGAAAGCCACGGCUAACUACGUGCCAGCAGCCGCGGUAAUAC
rnacentral:rRNA from 1 species